CGACGCUGGCGGCGUGCCUAAUACAUGCAAGUCGAGCGGGCUUGUCCUUCGGACAAGCUAGCGGCGGACGGGUGAGUAACACGUAGGUAACCUGCCUUUAAGACUGGGAUAACUAUCGGAAACGAUAGCUAAGACCGGAUAACUGGUUUUCUCGCAUGAGAGAAUCAUAAAGCACGGAGCAAUCUGUGGCUUAAAGAUGGGCCUGCGGCGCAUUAGCUAGUUGGUGAGGUAACGGCUCACCAAGGCGACGAUGCGUAGCCGACCUGAGAGGGUGAACGGCCACACUGGGACUGAGACACGGCCCAGACUCCUACGGGAGGCAGCAGUAGGGAAUCUUCCGCAAUGGACGCAAGUCUGACGGAGCAACGCCGCGUGAGUGAUGAGGUUUUCGGAUCGUAAAGCUCUGUUGCCCUAGACGAACAGCAUCAGGAGUAACUGCCUGGUGUGUGACGGUAUAGGAGAAGAAAGCCCCGGCUAACUACGUG
rnacentral:rRNA from 1 species